rnacentral:misc_RNA from 1 species
AAGAGGGCAAACAAACAGCGCAGGAGGCUGAUGGUGCCGUACCUUUGUGUGUUCUUGUGAUCGCACGCGUGCGUGUUUCUCUUCCCUACCGACGCUGGUGUUGCAGAAGGCACGAUAAGCUGGAGCCGCAGUCGAGGCCUCACGCACGCACACACACAUACACACACACACACCAAAAAAAAACAGCAGCACAACUAAUGUGUGGGCAAACGGAGGUGCACGCCGAUAAUGUAGUGCCGGUGUGCUUUUCGAGCGAAGCGGUCGCCAGGACUUCUGCUGUGCUUAGGUUGGCGUUGCCCGUUGAUGCGACGGGUAGUACAGUGACUGCUUUCGCUGGCCACUCGGGGGGCUGGCGUGUGCCAGUGGCCAGCAUGCACGCGAUCCCGCUACUGCCACCCUGCAAGGGGACAAAGGGUGACCUGAAUCGAAUCGAUGCCGCGGCAGUCGAUGGACUUACGCCAGCUACUCCCUCGCUCGCGGCAGGUAAUACCGCACCUGCGCGCCAGGCUGCCUGCGGUGCGCUACGGCGGCAGGUGGGGCUGCCGUCAAAAAGUCGGUUCUCCAUGUCUCUCACCUCACUCAUGAGUUUUCUCUCGAGUAGGUGGGUUUCUGCCGCCGAGUUCACCACGAAAGCGACAACAACGAACAUCCCUUACGAGCUGGACGCGCACCGCACCGGCCUUUGCAGCUGGGCCUCUUCGUCGUUGACAACAGCCUUCGUGUCUCUAGUCUGCGCGUGGCUAGCGGUCGAGGCUGAAAUGGCCACUCGCGCCCCAAGUUUCGUGGUUUGCAGCGCCGUAGUCGUGCGACACACCUUCUUUACCACAGCUCUAUGUGCGUGCGUCGACUUUGCAUCUGCUCAGGUACCGUUAUGCACAAUGUGGCUUUUGCUCCCUCUCAUCGGAUUCUCCCUGGAGGGUUUGGUACCGCCUCGAGUAUGGCGCACGCUGAUUGCCUGCUUUAUCCCCAUGAGCAGCACCGCUCUGUCAGGCCGCGGAGCGACGCCGGCAUUCCCGGCGCUCCUUUGGGUGACGAGUGCCGUUGCGCACUAAGUGGUGACUGUGUUCCAUGUAGUAUGCCGACAACUAAGGCUGCCAGACACAGCACCUCGAGCAAAGCAGCGCGUUAUCCCUGGAAUGAGGUUAGCAUGGAUGCAGGAGGAUACGAGCGCAUGCAGAUCGUAUGCGCUCCGUGAUACUCGUAGCGGCGACUCGCUUGUGGGCUUGUCACCCCUCUCCUUCCGAGUGUCAACAUGAGAGUUCUUGCUUUCUGUACCUGCUCACCUCCCCACUCAUACAUCUGCCGGUACGUGCGCAUGUGUGUCUCUCGAAACUCAAACCGCGUGCCACUGCCUGAAAAAAAAAGCAAAGAUGCAGAAAACCGUAAAAUACAAGCAAUAAAAACUCUGUGCGUGUAUGUGUGUUUGCCGGCAG